AUUGAACGCUGGCGGCAGGCCUAACACAUGCAAGUCGAACGAGUGGCGGACGGGUGAGUAAUGUCUGGGAAACUGCCCGAUGGAGGGGGAUAACUACUGGAAACGGUAGCUAAUACCGCAUACCAUCGGAUGUGCCCAGGUGGGAUUAGCUAGUAGGGGGGGUAACGGCUCACCUAGGCGACGAUCCCUAGCUGGUCUGAGAGGAUGACACGCCACUCGGGCACUGAGACACGGUCCAGACCUCUGCGAGAGGCAGCAGGGGGGAAUAUUGCACAAUGGGCGAAAGCGUGAUGCAGCUAUGGCGCGUGUAGGAAGAAGGCCUUCGGGGUGUAAAGUAUUUUCAGCGAGGAGGCGUUACUCGCAGAAGAAGCACCGGCUAACUCCGUGCCAGCAGCCGCGGUAAU
rnacentral:rRNA from 1 species